rnacentral:rRNA from 1 species
CCUACGGGGCGCACCAGUGGGGAAUAUUGCACAAUGGGCGCAAGCCUGAUGCAGCCAUGCCGCGUGUAUGAAGAAGGCCUUCGGGUUGUAAAGUACUUUCAGCGGGGAGGAAGGUGUUGUGGUUAGUAACCACAGCAAUUGACGUUACCCGCAGAAGAAGCACCGGCUAACUCCGUGCCAGCAGCCGCGGUAAUACGGAGGGUGCAAGCGUGAAUCGGAAUUACUGGGCGUAAAGCGCACGCAGGCGGUCUGUCAAGUCGGAUGUGAGAUCCCCGGGCUCAACCUGGGAACUGCAUUCGAGACUGGCAGGCUAGAGUCUUGUAGAGGGGGGUAGAAUUCCAGGUGUAGCGGUGAAAUGCGUAGGGAUCUGGAGGAAUACCGGUGGCGAAGGCGGCCCCCUGGACAAAGACUGACGCUCAGGUGCGAAAGCGUGGGGAGCAAACAGGAUUAGAUACCCUCGUAGUC